GUGAACGUUGGGAGGUGUUGGCACGGAAGACGGAGCGGGAAAAGGUUCACAACAACUAUGCGGUGAGGAGGAUAUCAACGGAUUGUGCAUUUACAGUUAGCGGGUGAGCCCACGCUGUACCUCGUAGGAGAACCUGGCCAUGGGUAUCGGAGAAUGCAUAUCAUAUGCCGGAGACGUGCUUGGCCUUGAACACUGACUCUGCUCGAUCACGGAUUCCAAAUUGGUCAUUACGUUACCGGCGGCUUGUCAGCAACCAGCAUUGGGUGUUCUUUUUCCGUUCAGUUCUUCCUGCCGUCCUUCUGUGUAUAAAGUGCCUUCCAUUAACAUCUCCCGACAACAAGUUGGAGUUGCUUCUAGCACGGUUUAUGAUGGUGCUGUUGCUGAAGAGGAAUGUUGUGUUGCCUGGUUGCACUGGACAGGAUGGUUCACACAGUGUAGUCGAUCUCCUGUUGGUGUCGAUUGUUCCCUUCGAGCCGGAGGCCCAUCCCGGCCGCUCAGUGCGAUAGUGUUAGGUGCUAGAAAUACAAGAUGUAAAUAUAAAAUGGUUACUUUACAUGUUAAUACAGAAGAGGCGAUUAUAUAGGUUAUAGAA